CCUGCACUUCGGGAUAAGCCUGGGAAACUGGGUCUAAUACCGGAUAGGACCUUUAGGCGCAUGUCUUUAGGUGGAAAGCUUUUGCGGUGUGGGAUGGGCCCGCGGCCUAUCAGCUUGUUGGUGGGGUGAUGGCCUACCAAGGCGACGACGGGUAGCCGGCCUGAGAGGGUGUCCGGCCACACUGGGACUGAGAUACGGCCCAGACUCCUACGGGAGGCAGCAGUGGGGAAUAUUGCACAAUGGGCGCAAGCCUGAUGCAGCGACGCCGCGUGGGGGAUGACGGCCUUCGGGUUGUAAACCUCUUUCACCAUCGACGAAGGUCCGGGUUUUCUCGGAUUGACGGUAGGUGGAGAAGAAGCACCGGCCAACUACGUGCCAGCAGCCGCGGUAAUACGUAGGGUGCGAGCGUUGUCCGGAAUUACUGGGCGUAAAGAGCUCGUAGGUGGUUUGUCGCGUUGUUCGUGAAAUCUCACGGCUUAACUGUGAGCGUGCGGGCGAUACGGGCAGACUAGAGUACUGCAGGGGAGACUGGAAUUCCUGGUGUAGCGGUGGAAUGCGCAGAUAUCAGGAGGAACACCGGUGGCGAAGGCGGGUCUCUGGGCAGUAACUGACGCUGAGGAGCGAAAGCGUGGGGAGCGAACAGGAUUAGAUACCCUGGUAGUCCACGCCGUAAACGGUGGGUACUAGGUGUGGGUUUCCUUCCUUGGGAUCCGUGCCGUAGCUAACGCAUUAAGUACCCCGCCUGGGGAGUACGGCCGCAAGGCUAAAACUCAAAGGAAUUGACGGGGGCCCGCACAAGCGGCGGAGCAUGUGGAUUAAUUCGAUGCAACGCGAAGAACCUUACCUGGGUUUGACAUGCACAGGACGCGUCUAGAGAUAGGCGUUCCCUUGUGGCCUGUGUGCAGGUGGUGCAUGGCUGUCGUCAGCUCGUGUCGUGAGAUGUUGGGUUAAGUCCCGCAACGAGCGCAACCCUUGUCUCAUGUUGCCAGCGGGUAAUGCCGGGGACUCGUGAGAGACUGCCGGGGUCAACUCGGAGGAAGGUGGGGAUGACGUCAAGUCAUCAUGCCCCUUAUGUCCAGGGCUUCACACAUGCUACAAUGGCCGGUACAAAGGGCUGCGAUGCCGCAAGGUUAAGCGAAUCCUUUUAAAGCCGGUCUCAGUUCGGAUUGGGGUCUGCAACUCGACCCCAUGAAGUCGGAGUCGCUAGUAAUCGCAGAUCAGCAACGCUGCGGUGAAUACGUUCCCGGGCCUUGUACACACCGCCCGUCACGUCAUGAAAGUCGGUAACACCCGAAGCCAGUGGCCUAACC
rnacentral:rRNA from 1 species